AGCGCACACGGUGGAUGCCUUGGCGGUCAGAGGCGAUGAAGGACGUGGCAGCCUGCGAAAAGUAUCGGGGAGCUGGCAACAAGCUUUGAUCCGGUAAUGUCCGAAUGGGGAAACCCACCCGCUUGCGGGUAUCCUGCAGUGAAUACAUAGCUGCUGGAAGCGAACCUGGUGAACUGAAAUAUCUAAGUAACCAGAGGAAAAGAAAUCAACCGAGAUUCCGUAAGUAGCGACGAGCGAACGCGGACUAGCCCUUAAGCUGAUUUGGUUCUAGGAAAACGCUCUGGAAAGAGCGGCCAUAGAAGGUGAUAGCCCUGUAUCUGAAAGGGCCAUUUCAGUGAAGACGAGUAGGGCGGGGCACGUGAAACCCUGUCUGAACAUGGGGGGACCAUCCUCCAAGGCUAAAUACUACUGACCGACCGAUAGUGAACCAGUACCGUGAGGGAAAGGCGAAAAGAACCCCGGAGAGGGGAGUGAAAUAGAACCUGAAACCGUGUGCGUACAAGCAGUAGGAGCUCCGCAAGGAGUGACUGCGUACCUUUUGUAUAAUGGGUCAGCGACUUACUGUUCGUGGCAAGCUUAACCGUAUAGGGGAGGCGAAGGGAAACCGAGUCUGAUAAGGGCGCAUAGUCGCGGGCAGUAGACCCGAAACCGGGUGAUCUAGUCAUGCCCAGGGUGAAGGUGCGGUAACACGCACUGGAGGCCCGAACCCACUCCCGUUGCAAAGGUAGGGGAUGAGGUGUGAUUAGGAGUGAAAAGCUAAUCGAACCCGGAGAUAGCUGGUUCUCCUCGAAAGCUAUUUAGGUAGCGCCUCAUAUGUAUCCUCUCGGGGGUAGAGCACUGUUAUGGCUAGGGGGUCAUCGCGACUUACCAAACCAUUGCAAACUCCGAAUACCGAGACGGACUGUAUGGGAGACACACGGCGGGUGCUAACGUCCGUCGUGAAAAGGGAAACAACCCAGACCCACAGCUAAGGUCCCAAAUUUUGUGCUAAGUGGAAAACCAUGUGGAAAGGCACAGACAGCCAGGAGGUUGGCUUAGAAGCAGCCACCCUUUAAAGAAAGCGUAAUAGCUCACUGGUCGAGUCGGUCUGCGGGGAAGAUUUAACGGGGCUAAGCACAGAACCGAAGCUUGGGGUGCAUACUUUGUAUGCGCGGUAGAGGAGCGUUCCGUAAGCCGUUGAAGGUGGAUUGAGAAGUCUGCUGGAGGUAUCGGAAGUGCGAAUGCUGACAUGAGUAACGAUAAUGCGGGUGAAAAACCCGCACGCCGAAAGCCCAAGGUUUCCUUGCGCAACGUUAAUCGGCGCAGGGUGAGUCGGCCCCUAAGGCGAGGACGAAAGUCGUAGUCGAUGGGAAGCAGGUUAAUAUUCCUGCACCUCGCGUAAGUGCGAUGGAGGGACGGAGAAGGUUAGGUGUACCAGGCGUUGGUUGUCCUGGGGAAAGGCGGUAGGUUUGGAUCUUUGGCAAAUCCGGGAUCCUUUAAGACCGAGCACCGAGACGAGCCUUUAAGGCGAAGUCACUGAUACCACGCUUCCAGGAAAAGCUCCUAAGCUUCAGCUUACGCAGACCGUACCGUAAACCGACACAGGUGGGUAGGAUGAGAAUUCUCAGGCGCUUGAGAGAACUCGGGUGAAGGAACUAGGCAACAUGGCACCGUAACUUCGGGAGAAGGUGCACCCUUUUUGGUGGCUCGUGCGAGCUAUAGCUGAAGAGGGUCGCAGUAACCAGGCCGCUGCGACUGUUUAUCAAAAACACAGCACUCUGCAAACACGAAAGUGGACGUAUAGGGUGUGACGCCUGCCCGGUGCUGGAAGGUUAAUUGAUGGGGUCAGCCGCAAGGCGAAGCUCUUGAUCGAAGCCCCAGUAAACGGCGGCCGUAACUAUAACGGUCCUAAGGUAGCGAAAUUCCUUGUCGGGUAAGUUCCGACCUGCACGAAUGGCGUAACGACAGCGGCGCUGUCUCCACCCGAGACUCAGUGAAAUUGAAAUCGCUGUGAAGAUGCAGCGUUCCCGUGGCAAGACGGAAAGACCCCGUGAACCUUUACUAUAGCUUUACACUGAACGUUGAGUUCGUCUGUGUAGGAUAGGUGGGAGGCUAUGAAACCAUGGCGCUAGCUGUGGCGGAGCCAUCCUUGAAAUACCACCCUGUCGUGCUUGACGUUCUAACCUGGGCCCAUUAUCUGGGUCGGGGACCGUGUAUGGUGGGUAGUUUGACUGGGGCGGUCUCCUCCUAAAGAGUAACGGAGGAGCUCGAAGGUACGCUCAGCGCGGUCGGACAUCGCGCACUGUGUGCAAAGGCAUAAGCGUGCUUGACUGCAAGAUCGACGGAUCAAGCAGGUAGGAAACUAGGACUUAGUGAUCCGGUGGUUCUGUAUGGAAGGGCCAUCGCUCAACGGAUAAAAGGUACUCCGGGGAUAACAGGCUGAUACCGCCCAAGAGUUCAUAUCGACGGCGGUGUUUGGCACCUCGAUGUCGGCUCAUCACAUCCUGGGGCUGUAGUCGGUCCCAAGGGUAUGGCUGUUCGCCAUUUAAAGUGGUACGCGAGCUGGGUUCAGAACGUCGUGAGACAGUUCGGUCCCUAUCUGCCAUGGGCGUUGGAGAUUUGAGAGGGGCUGCUCCUAGUACGAGAGGACCGGAGUGGACGAACCUCUGGUGUUCCGGUUGUCACGCCAGUGGCAUUGCCGGGUAGCUAUGUUCGGAAGCGAUAACCGCUGAAAGCAUCUAAGCGGGAAGCGCGCCUCAAGAUGAGAUCUCCCGGGGCACAAGCCCCCUGAAGGAACCAUGUAGACUACGUGGUUGA
rnacentral:rRNA from 1 species